UACGUAGGGGGCUAGCGUUGUCCGGAAUCAUUGGGCGUAAAGGGCUCGUAGGCGGUUUGUCGCGUCGGGAGUGAAAACGCCGGGCUUAACCCGGUGCUUGCUUUCGAUACGGGCAGACUGGAGGUAUGCAGGGGAGAACGGAAUUCCUGGUGUAGCGGUGAAAUGCGCAGAUAUCAGGAGGAACACCGGUGGCGAAGGCGGUUCUCUGGGCAUGACCUGACGCUGAGGUGCGAAAGCGUGGGGAGCAAACAGG
rnacentral:rRNA from 1 species